AGCCCGAAGAAGAGUGGACGGGUCAAUUUCCACUCUAACUCCCUGUUGGACUUGGCCGGGCCAUUGUGCCCGGUCUUUUUU
rnacentral:ncRNA from 1 species